rnacentral:rRNA from 1 species
UACGUAGGUGGCAAGUGUUGUCCGGAAUUAUUGGGCGUAAAGCGCGCGCAGGCGGUCCUUUAAGUCUGAUGUGAAAGCCCACGGCUCAACCGUGGAGGGUCAUUGGAAACUGGGGGACUUGAGUACAGAAGAGAAGAGUGGAAUUCCACGUGUAGCGGUGAAAUGCGUAGAGAUGUGGAGGAACACCAGUGGCGAAGGCGACUCUUUGGUCUGUAACUGACGCUGAGGCGCGAAAGCGUGGGGAGCAAACGGG